GCGGCGGACGGGUGAGUAACACGUGGGUAACCUGCCCAUAAGACUGGGAUAACUCCGGGAAACCGGGGCUAAUACCGGAUAACAUUUUGAACUGCAUGGUUCGAAAUUGAAAGGCGGCUUCGGCUGUCACUUAUGGAUGGACCCGCGUCGCAUUAGCUAGUUGGUGAGGUAACGGCUCACCAAGGCAACGAUGCGUAGCCGACCUGAGAGGGUGAUCGGCCACACUGGGACUGAGACACGGCCCAGACUCCUACGGGAGGCAGCAGUAGGGAAUCUUCCGCAAUGGACGAAAGUCUGACGGAGCAACGCCGCGUGAGUGAUGAAGGCUUUCGGGUCGUAAAACUCUGUUGUUAGGGAAGAACAAGUGCUAGUUGAAUAAGCUGGCACCUUGACGGUACCUAACCAGAAAGCCACGGCUAACUACGUGCCAGCAGCCGCGGUAAUAC
rnacentral:rRNA from 2 species